GAGGGGCUGGGGAGCCUCGGGGAGCCUCGGGGAGCCUGGCGGAGCCGGGAGCUCGGCGGGGCUUGGAGCCCCGCUUCCUUGCAGGCCUUAGGGGUUGCUCUGAGGACCGAUGACUCGGAAGGCGCUCAGAAGAACGCUUCGCCCAUUGGUGCUAUGGACUGAAGCCAGCCUUAAAUCACCUCAAGCCCUGAGAGAAUUAAGGUGAGCCGCUCACCUGGACACCUGCGGACAGAAAAGUACACCUUCCCUGGAGGAAGGUAAAACAAAACAGAAACAGAAGUCCUCACUGCACAGUGCUGGAAUGGAUCCGGGUCAGAAAAAAUUAUUAUAAAGUGCGUGACGGGGACAUUCACAAUUUGGAAUAUGCCUUGUAUAUUGUGCAACAAAAUUCUACCAAUGAUAAACUCCAGAAUUUUUUGUUUUCGUUUUUUUAGAUGAAGUUUCACUCUGUUGUCCAGGCCGGAGUGCAGUGGUGCGAUCUCAACUCAUUGCAACCUCUGCCUCAGCCUCCUGAGUAGCUGGGAUUACAGGCGUGAGCCACCACGCCCAGCUAAUUUUUGUAUUUUCAGCAGAGACAGGGUUUCACCAUCUUGGCCAGGCUGUUCUCGACCUCCUGACCUCAAAUGAUCCACCCGCCUCAGCCUCCCAAAGUGCUGGGAUUACAGGCGUGAGCCACCACGCCGGGCCAAACUCCAGAAUUAUUAAAUGACUCAAUGAUUGCAUCACGGUUGUGAAUGGAGAUUUUUUGUUCAUUUGUGAUCUAUGCUGAAGUGUUUAGAGGUGAAAAAUCAUUAGAUUUGUAACCAAAAUUGCUCUGGAAAUUAAGGCAAAAACAACGAUUUAGAUUACAUACAGAGACUGAGAUAAAAGCAAAGGUAGCAAAAUAUUAACAAUUGGUGAACCUGGGUGAAAACUAUGUACUGUUACUGCAACUUUUCUGUGAAUUCAAAAUUUUUCAAAAUGAAAACAUUGAAAAAAAUAUUAAAACCUCAUGAAACUUAGUAAAAAUUUAUUGAAUGAUA